GGCCUUCGGGUUGUAAACCUCUUUUGUCGGGAAGAUAAAGACUGGGCUAAUACCUGAGGCCCAUGACGGUACCGGAACAAUAAGCACCGGCUAACUACGUGCCAUCAGCCUCGGUAAUACGUAUGGUGCUAGCGUUAAUCGGAAUUACUGGGCGUAAAGCGUGCGCAAGCGGUUAUGUAAGACAGAUGUGAAAUCCCCGGGCUCAACCUGGGAACUGCCUUUGUGACUGCUGGGCUUGAGUACGGAAGAGGGGGAUGGAAUUCCACGUGUAGCAAUGAAAUGCGUAAAUAUGCGGAGGAACACCGAUGGCGAAGGCAAUCCCCUGGACCUGUACUGACGCUCAUGCACGAAAGCGUGGGUAGCAAACAGGAUUAAAUACCCUGGUAGUCCACGCCCUAAACGAUGUCAACUGGUUGUUGGGAAGGUAUUAUCUCUUUAACCUAGCUAACACGUGAAGUUGACCGCCUGUGGAGUGCAUUCGCAGAGUUUAAAACUCUAAGGAAUUUUCGGGG
rnacentral:rRNA from 1 species